CCUUGCGCAUCCGAAAAUUCAUAGCCUGACCAGAAGUCGCUCUCUUCGGAGCUCGGCACAGUUGCUCGAUAGCUCGCCAGAUUGACAUAAACGCUGAUCCUCACCCCCUUGUUGAAAGUCCUCAGAAAUUUGGGCCACUACUUUUUCCACGGCGGCCUCGGCUGCUGCAGAAGCGCCAUCGAACUGGUUAUUCCGUCUCGUCAGGCUUGCCGUCAUCGAGCUCCAUCGAAGAAGCCCAGCCAGCAUCAACAGCGUUGCGCCAGUAAAGACCAUAACCCAGACCAGAGCGAAACCCGAUCGGGAUAUGUGGCUGGGGUUGAAUUUCAUAUCAAUCGAGCGCCCUCCGCAUGAUACGGGUUCGUAACUGAUAAGACUCAUAGUAUUGCCCGGGUCCAAUGCACACUUUAGGGUUGCCCAACUCGUAAAACUGCAAGUUGACUCCCACGAGACAGUUGUUUUGAAAAUUGGUGAGCACGUUCCCUGCACAGUCUUCCGCCGUGAAAACCAGGUUAUUGCUGAUGGAGUGAGCCACGGCGGUCGCGAAAGCCCCAUUUAACAUCCGCUUCAAUUUCUUGUCUCCUGCAUCCCAAAAGUAACGAACGAAACUAUUCGUAUCGGUGGACGGAAACAUCUGAAUCGCGUUUCCCUCUUGAGUUGUGUUUAUCGCCACUCCGUGGAAGGAGCCGGUAUCUCCGUUGCCAAUACGGAGAAUUUUUGCGGACCGUAUAUCGGCCAUUAGCAUUCCCAGAGCCCGGCGUGAUUCCUGAUCGGUCCCUAGCUUGGGUUGACUGACCUCCAGCAAGCGCAUCCCGAAUAGAUGACUGACGAUCACUCCUGCACUAACCAUCAAGAAAAUAGACAUGGCUAUCAUCAGCUCGGGAAGGGUGAACGCCCCCAUGUUCCGGAGCCGAGUGCUGCCCUUAGACAAAUGACGGCAAGAACCCAUGUUUAUCGGUCAGCGCUCCUAUAGGUAACGACUGUAUUCGUGAAAGGCCCUCUUGAUAAGCACGCCCAGGCCGACUCCACACGAAUCAUCUUAACCAUCGGAAGGCCCGUGAGCGAUGUGAUCGUAAUGCUGUUGGUCGCGUAUGCCACUUUGGAUUGAGUGAGCGGAAUAUCCAGCACCGUUACCGAUGUCGGAAAAUUGGCCUCCACCAGCUCAUCGAUAGGUGUGACCGCCAUAGGCUCCCAUCGGGCUGAGCGAGUCCGCUCCAAAGUCUGGAUGACCGACCAGUGGACUGCGGCCAAGCAGGCCGAUAAUUCCGCGGCCUGGACGGCUAACACAUACCCGGAGAUGAUGCAGCCAAUGCUCACGGCGGCCACGCCCAUGGACAUGAUCACUUCAGUGAGGGCAAUCCCCGAACAGGAACUCCGCCACACUCGCUUGCUGGAAUUCGUUCGCUUCAUCCUGCAAUACUCAGAACUUUGUUGAUGGUCGUUUCAGCGCAACAGCAUUAUUUGGCAACGAGCCUGCCACACGGUUUAGAUAUCAAUUCAUCGGGAAAUAUUUAGGGGCGCUUAAGUGCGAACUUUUCUCCCAGCUUCGAUCGGCAAUUGCGCUCUCACUC
rnacentral:misc_RNA from 1 species